rnacentral:misc_RNA from 1 species
CAGAGUUCGUGCCCGUCCGGGUAGAUCUCCCACCCGCUGUCAUCACUACAAUCGUUGCUUUGGCGGGCCGGCGGCCCCAGGCCGGUGCGUGCCCGCCAGAGGCCCCAUAGACUCUGAAUGUUAGUGUCGUCCGAGUACUAUACAAUAGUUA